AUAUAUAUAUUCAUAGUAAUUCUUAGUAAUUUGAUAGCAAUCAAUAUCCCGGAAACACAUAAUUUAAUACAAUCUCCGGACUGUCUUUGAAUUUAGUCCUGGUUUACUUUUUAAUCAAAUGCGGGACAAGCACGAGAAAUUAAGAGUACCGGCACAAAACACGGAAAAUAAAUAAGGGGAAACACGAAACACGCACGUUGAACCAAACACGAAAAAACGAGAAAUAAAACGUCAAAACACGAGAACACGUGAAAUAAAAAGGCCGAAAACGUUGCACGAAAAUAACCCUUACCACCC
rnacentral:lncRNA from 1 species